rnacentral:tRNA from 1 species
GGUUCAAGCAAGCGACUCAUAAUCGCCAGAUGGUGGUUCAAUUCCACCCAGGGCCAUAUUUUGGGAACAUAA